GGAAUAUUGGUCAAUGGCCGUAAGGCUGANCCAGCCAAGUAGCGUGCAGGAUGACGGCCCUAUGGGUUGUAAACUGCUUUUAAACGGGGAUAAAGUGAGCCACGUGUGGUUUAUUGCAGGUACCGUUUGAAUAAGGACCGGCUAAUUCCGUNCCAGCAGCCGCGGUAAUACGGAAGGUCCAGGCGUUAUCCGGAUUUAUUGGGUUUAAAGGGAGCGUAGGCGGAGCGUCAAGCCAGCAGUGAAAUGUAGCGGCCCAACCGCUGCACUGCUGUUGGAACUGGCGCCCUUGAGUGCACGCGAGGCAUGCGGAAUUUGUGGUGUAGCGGUGAAAUGCUUAGAUAUCACGAAGAACUCCGAUUGCGAAGGCAGCAUGCCGGAGUGCAACUGACGCUGAAGCUCGAAAGUGCGGGUAUCGAACAGGAUUAGAUACCCUGGUAGUCCGCACGGUAAACGAUGGAUGCUCGCUGUGGGCGACAAACAGUGNGCGACCCAGCGAAAGCGUUAAGCAUCCCACCUGGGGAGUACGCCG
rnacentral:rRNA from 1 species